UUCGUUCUCCUCUCCAACCGACGUGGGAUCUCACACAAUUGUUGAUGAAGAAAUGGAGUUGAUGAUCGAUCAUUACUAGGGUCAUAAUCGAUUGAAAGAUCAAGUCGACUUUUGUUUGCCAUAUCAAUCAUGGAGGUAAAAAAUGAUUUUACUCCCGGACCUUUUGCAAUAGGUUUUGAUUUUAGUAUCAAUAGUAAGGUGGAAAUAUUUGAAUACAAGCUCAUAUUGCAUAUGAAAAUUGGAAGGAAAAUGUUCAUGCCAAAUGAAGCAGCUUUGUAGGAAAGGGGCUGUUUGAGAAUGAUAGUGCAGAUGUUGGAGCGUCCUUUCAUAUACACAAAGCUUGUAACAAUUUCUGAUAAAGCUCAUCAGAUCUAUUUGAAGCUCUCAAGGAAGGACACUAUGAGUUGGGGUUGUGUAGGGUAGACUCGUAGCUUCGUUUAGCAGAAGAGCAUGACUUUCGAAACUCUUAGUCAAGUGGGAGCACCCAACCUAUGGGCUUUGAAAGAAUAAGAGAAGGGAAUAAAACAAAGAGGAUCACUCCUUUUAGGAAUAUGGCUUGUUCAAUCACUUGCUCAUGAACUUGUAGCUUAGCCAAAAACAACGAAUGGGAAAGUGUAGAAGCUUUGCCGAUUAUGUUGCAGCCUGGAAAUGCUUAGAACUUCCAUUUUGCAUCUCUUAUCGAUGGUGUAGGUAGUUGUGCCUUGUUGGAGAUUUAUUUGUAGCAAGCCUCUUUUCUCCUCGUUCUACAUAAACAAAAUGAAGAACUGCGAACAAAAUGAAGAACUGGGGCAAACAGUUCAUCACGGAAGAAAGGACUCACUGAGCCAAAAUUUGACUCUUAACGUUUUGUUCCAUAGAGUAUCAAGUGCUUCACUUCACAUGGCUCAGAACUGAUUGAAGGUAUUUCUUUGUUGGUUAUUCCUGUCUCGAUGAUAUUAUAUUAUCAUUAGUUUCACAUACUCCAGCCCUACCAUGGAACUUCCUUCUUUAAUUGAUCUUCUAGACUGAUUUUUUCA